GAGUCGCAUGCUAUGGACCCGAAGCGGAGUGAUCUACCCAUGGCCAGGGUGAAGCGACGGUAAGACGUCGUGGAGGCCCGAACCCACUUAGGUUGAAAACUGAGGGGAUGAGCUGUGGGUAGGGGUGAAAGGCCAAUCAAACUCCGUGAUAGCUGGUUCUCCCCGAAAUGCAUUUAGGUGCAGCGUCACGUGUUUCACGCCGGAGGUAGAGCUACUGGAUGGCCUAGGGGGCCCACAAGCUUACCGAAGUCAGCCAAACUCCGAAUGCCGGUGUGUGAGAGCGUGGCAGUGAGACUGCGGGGGAUAAGCUUCGUAGUCGAGAGGGAAACAGCCCAGAUCGCCGGCUAAGGCCCCUAAGCGUGUACUAAGUGGAAAAGGAUGUGGGGUCGCAGAGACAACCAGGAGGUUGGCUUAGAAGCAGCCACCCUUGAAAGAGUGCGUAAUAGCUCACUGGUCAAGUGAUCCUGCGCCGACAAUGUAGCGGGGCUCAAGUACACCGCCGAAGCCGCGGCAGUCACACAUGUACAUUCCCUUCGGGGCAGUGGUGUGGCUGGGUAGGGGAGCGUCGUGUAGCCAGGGAAGCAGCAGGGUGACCUAGUUGUGGAGGCUGCGCGAGUGAGAAUGCAGGCAUGAGUAGCGAAAGACGAGUGAGAAACUCGUCCGCCGAAUGACCAAGGGUUCCUGGGCCAGGUUAAUCCGCCCAGGGUGAGUCGGGACCUAAGACGAGGCCGACAGGCGUAGCCGAUGGACAACGGGUUGAUAUUCCCGUACCCGUGUAUCCGCGCCCAAUGGCGAAUCAGUUGUGCUAACCGUCCAAAACCCAAUAGACCACCUUCGGGUGGCUGGAGGGGGCUGCACGGGACCCUGAUUGUAGUAGUCAAGCGAUGGGGUGACGCAGGAAGGUAGCUGGGCCAGGUGAUGGAAUACCUGGUGUAAGCCGGUAGGGCGAGACGUAGGCAAAUCCGCGUCUCAUACAGCCUGAGAGGUGAUGCGUAGCCGAUUGAGGCGAAUUCAGUGAUCCUAUGCUGCCGAGAAAAGCCUCUAGUGAGUUGGUACACGGCCCGUACCCCAAACCGACACAGGUGGUCAGGUAGAGAAUACUAAGGCGAUCGAGAGAACUGUGGUUAAGGAACUCGGCAAAAUGCCCCCGUAACUUCGGGAGAAGGGGGACCACGGCUGGUGACGGAACUUGCUUCCUGAGCUGGUGGUGGUCGCAGAGACCAGAGAGAAGCGACUGUUUACUAAAAACACAGGUCCGUGCGAAGUCGUAAGACGAUGUAUACGGACUGACGCCUGCCCGGUGCCGGAAGGUUAAGAGGACCGGUUAGCGAAGCAAUUCGCGAAGCUGAGAAUUUAAGCCCCGGUAAACGGCGGUGGUAACUAUAACCAUCCUAAGGUAGCGAAAUUCCUUGUCGGGUAAGUUCCGACCUGCACGAAUGGCGUAACGACUUCUCUGCUGUCUCAACCACAGACUCGGCGAAAUUGCAUUACGAGUAAAGAUGCUCGUUACGCGCGGCAGGACGAAAAGACCCCGGGACCUUCACUAUAGCUUGGUAUUGGUGUUCGGUACGGUUUGUGUAGGAUAGGUGGGAGACUGUGAAAGCGGCACGCUAGUGUCGUGGGAGUCGUCGUUGAAAUACCACUCUGAUCGUAUUGGACCUCUAACCUCGGACCCUGAUCGGGUUCAGGGACAGUGCCUGGUGGGUAGUUUAACUGGGGCGGUUGCCUCCCAAAAUGUAACGGAGGCGCCCAAAGGUUCCCUCAGCCUGGUUGGCAAUCAGGUGUCGAGUGCAAGUGCACAAGGGAGCUUGACUGUGAGACAGACAUGUCGAGCAGGGACGAAAGUCGGGACUAGUGAUCCGGCACCGGCAUGUGGAAGCGGUGUCGCUCAACGGAUAAAAGGUACCCCGGGGAUAACAGGCUGAUCUUCCCCAAGAGUCCAUAUCGACGGGAUGGUUUGGCACCUCGAUGUCGGCUCGUCGCAUCCUGGGGCUGGAGUAGGUCCCAAGGGUUGGGCUGUUCGCCCAUUAAAGCGGCACGCGAGCUGGGUUUAGAACGUCGUGAGACAGUUCGGUCUCUAUCCGCCGCGCGCGUUAGAAACUUGAGGAAGGCUGUCCCUAGUACGAGAGGACCGGGACGGACGAACCUCUGGUGUGCCAGUUGUUCCGCCAGGAGCACUGCUGGUUGGCCACGUUCGGAAGGGAUAACCGCUGAAAGCAUCUAAGCGGGAAGCCUGUUCCAAGAUGAGGUUUCUCACCCCCUCGAGGGGGUAAGGCCCCCAACAGACCAUUGGGUUGAUAGGCCAGAACUGGAAGCGCGGUAACGUGUGGAGGUGACUGGUACUAAUAGGCCGAGGACUUACCAAC
rnacentral:rRNA from 1 species